GCUCUCGGGGUUGUGCCCCUGCCACGCUGCGGGGAGAGGGGCCCUGUGCGGGGAGGGGGGUAGUGACGAGGGCUUUGGCGCUUGCCUGGGGUGAAGAGCAGGCUGUCGUUUGAAGAGUAGGGCUGAGCUCUUGGCGUGGCCUUAGCUGGGGAGGCCCUCAACAGGGAGCAGAUUGGGACGUGCGCUUGACGCAGGCGAGGCAGGAGCCUGCGCUUGUUGAUCUGGGGCUCUUGUAAACGUUGAGGCUUGUGUGUGAUGUCUGAGAACUGCACUAAUGGUGUUUGGAUAUCAUAAAUAUGUGGCUUAGUGUGACCGGCAGGAGGAGCUUUGCUCUCUUCUCAAGGCAGCUGUCCUCAAGGAUGUCCAUAGAGACGUAAAGCCAGACGGUGUAGGAUCUCUCUCAGCUUCCCUGUUUUCUUACCUGUCCUUGCUGUCCGAUGUUCGCGUGGCUUAGCCAGCUGACUUAAGUGCUCUCUGAAGUUCAGUAUACUGAACGUGUAGGGAGAAGCUCGAUUUUGAGCAGCAAAUUUUAGACUUUCUUGUACUGAACAUAAUCCCUGCUUCUGCUAGUUUCUGUCUUGGACAAUGAGAAAUGAUCUGUUCACCAAAAGGGAGAUAAGUUUCUGUUAGGCUUAAGGGGACUGAAGCUCCCUGAAAUAACGUGUGGAAGAACUUUGCUUGAAAACGAGAGAGAGGACACUCAAAAGUAUUGCAUGGUUUGUAAAAUAACACUUCACAGGAAUCGGCCAUUAACUAGAAAUUAAGUGGUUAAUUAGUUUAGAAGAUGCUCCAUGUAAAAGAGUAAUGAAGAGUUUUGCAGGCUUACUGGAGGUCUUGGCUGAAGUCCAGUAGUGGUAUAGCUCAGGAAGAAAGGGGUUAUCGGUUUUUAUUUCACACUUGGGCUCCUCCUGGAGGUAAGUACAUUGCAGUUGCUCAGGAUAUUGCCUUGCAGUAACUGCAUGGGGGUAGUCUGUUUACCCCAGGAUACACGCAGAGGGAAGUGAUGGAGAAAGGGUGUAAUGAGGUUUUUCUGUGAUGCAGUUAGAAAUUGCAUAACCUGACCCUUGCAGCCUUUCAGGAUUUGUAGAUACUACAGCAAUGCAAUGCGUGUCAUUCUUCUGUCUCCUUAAAUCCAGCUCACUCCAGUUAAAGAAUCUGGACCAGUUGCCUGCGUUCCUGUAAAAUGUCUGGUGUCCUGAGACAGGAGGUGCUUCUCCUCACCCCCAGCUUACCCAUUUUUGCCAUAUUCAUCACUGAAGAAAAGCAGUGGAGAAUGUGUUGUGCUUUUUUGCUGUUACAAUUUCAGUAGUAGUUGCAUACCUCUGAAGAUUUCUGAAUUACAAAUACAGCUCCAUUUAUUUCUUUCUUUCCUAUUUUUGUUUCUUCUCUACAGGGAUAACCUUCAGAUGAGGUGUGCUGUGGGCAAAAAAGGGGGCAGUGGCAUGAUAACUUCUGCCACAGCAGUUGCCCACUGUAGACUUUAAGCCUAUGCUUAUAUCUCUGCAGCUGAUAACAAGUGAUGAUGGUAAGUAUUGAAGUGGGAUAAUUGAGGGGAGAUUUUUCUGUCAGUUUUUUAACUGACAGCAGAAGUCUUCAUCCAAGUCUGCUGGCCUAAUGAUAGGAUGCUUUGUUACUUAAACUGGUUUACAAUCGGUUGGUUUCACCUGCACUGAUUCCCUUUCAUCCUCCCUUUCCCCCUGGUGUCAGUGCUGCUGCUCUGCAGAGAAGACAAGGAUGCAUCUGCUUUACAGAUGUUUUUAUGUCAUUGUUUAUGCCAUGUUUCUGUAUCUGAAGAUGUAAAUACCACUGAUCUCUCAGCUAGGAGCUGCUGGAGCAGACUGAAAUGCAGAACAAAGGACUUGACCUCAGGAACUACCCAAAUGAAUGCCUGAUGCAAGAGACUACAUUGUUUUUUGUGUGUGUGUAGUUCACUUUCAGCAGUUUUGGGAAUGUCUGAUGUUUCUCAGGGUAUGGAUUAUACUUACUGAUCCCAGCUUGUCAAAGCUGUUAAUGAUGAUGUCUUUUAUGUCUCAGACUUGGUAAUUAGUACUUACAGGUGAGCAGAAUAUCCAAGUCUUCUGACCCAACAGUACUUAAUUGGAAGAUCCAUGAGAAGCUUCUGGUCAUAUUACAGAACUAAAUGUUGUCUCAACAUUUCAUAUGGAAAGAGUUAAGGUGAUGAUAGAAUUGAAAGCCUGCCUUUUGCAUCUCUUAAAGACAUGGGUAUAUUGUGGUUUAAUACUGUUAAUGCAAGCUUCAGUGUCUCUGUGGUCCAGAGCAAAUGAAGCUGAUACAUUUGUGCUGGGCCUGCCGUGCUGACCUCCUACACUGCAGAAACUGGGUUGUCUUUGUUUCUCAAAGAUAUUUGGGUCACAGUGGACUCCGAUAAGCAACCAUCCAGUGUCUUGAAGACCAGGAGAAACAGUUGGAAAACCCUGCAGGAGGGGUGUAGAAGAUGAGGAUGAGUAGGAAUGUGUGAUGUUUCUGCUUAAAGAAGAAAUUUCUCAAUUGAAGUUUGUAUGUAGAAACCUGGCUUCAUAUCUCAGUUUUCAUUCUGAAGAGAAUUGGUGAAAACUUUAAGGGUUUGUAUGCUCUGAAUUGUUGAAAUCAUUGUCAAAACCAGCUCUCAAGUGCCUAUGAGAAAUACACAGAUUUAUAUUUAUAAGAUUAAUUAUACAAAUACGUUAUGUGAUAACCUAAUUUUUAAGGUGUCCGAUGUUCUGCUCCCAUGGUGUCAAAAUCCCUGUCAGAGCAGCAUGGAGGACUGGCAGGAUGCUGAAGCUCUCUCUGUUCCUGGAAAUUUUCUGGGCUGUGUAAAUUUCCAGCCUAGUAUGCAAAUUAGAUGGAUUAAAAAAAUGUGUGUUCUUGAACAGGGAGAGCAGUGAGGUUUGCAAGGGUGAGUGACACCAUCUACGCUACUCUUCACACGUAAGUUUUGUUUCAAAACCCCAUUUGCUUAAUUAUCUCAGGUAUAAAAUUUCAUUAUUUACAGUCCGCUUGGAGGAAGGAGAGGUGAAGUGUCACUGACCAACUGCUCACUUCAAAGCCAAGGGGGAGGGGUGUGAGCUCUUUCAUGUUAAAGUUGCUCAGAUUCUGGAGACUGAAGAAGCAGGUAUAAAAGGGCAGUUGUCUUUAAUUGUCUCCUAUGGAGCCAUUUCCCAAAGAGUUACUGGAGCUGCAAGGUGAGAUUCUGAAAUCAGGUGGGUAAAAUAGGUAAGUAUUUUUGUAUCAUGGUGGUGUUCCCAAAUAUUUUAACUACAGCAUUACAGAAAAAGACAUUGUUUUAUUUUGUUAAUAAACUAGAAAAGCAUGGGGAAAAAGCAGGUAAGAGUGGAAGGGUUCUGUGCCUCUCUGAGUGUUCUCAGUGAAAUUGUGGGGACGCAGCUGUUAAACCAAGAACCUAGUAUUCCUGCAUACCCCAAAAGAUUUGUAAAGCUCUGAAAAUAACUUUAUGGACUAAUGUUAACUUUUUUAAUCUUUCAGGACAAGAAGUGUGCUCUUAAGAGCAGUCAGGUGCUGCACAUCCCUGGGCUCUUAACUGGUACCUGAAAGAACUCACUCAACUGGAGAAAAAUUCAGUUUAUUCCACAACUUUUAACUCCCUUGAAUUUAAAUAACAGCUCAUCUAAUGCUGAAACAGGAAAUUUUUACUGUAGGUACUGCAGAAGGGGCUUGGAGUAGAGGACCUAAAAGUGCUAGUCAGAGUGCUGUGAUGGGCCUUGGAGCAACUGCAGGUAGUUGGAGUACAAGGGAUUCCCAUUUUGAGAAGCUCCAGUUUAAGAAGGCACACUAGCAGUGGGGAGACUUCCUGAAUAGAGAAGACUCAAAAGUUGAGUAUGUUCUGCAGCCAUUUCUUAGGGAUGUGUGGGUCUAUCUUCUGAGAUGGGAUGACACAAGAUGGCUGUUGAAACCAUGGGGUUGUAGGGAGACACAUUUCAUGUGAGCACAUAUGUGGAACUACCCGGUUCACAACCACCUCAGUGGCUUCAGUUCUCAAGUUUUUCUUGUUCUUAAAAAUCCCAUCUUCACUUGGUCCACCUAACUCCUGCAGAGCUCCCUUCCCUGGCUGAUGGCAGCACUGCAGUGAAGAUCGGCUGCCUGCACCUGUGGAUUGGUGGCACACAAACAUGAGUCCUUGGGUUGGCUGUGGUCUAGCUUUAAUAUACACAGCAGGUGCACCUGAGCACUUCACCUGGAACAGGGAAAAUGCUUGGGCUGUCCUCGGUCAGAUGCACUUGGUGUCUGCACUGCUCUCUUCAGCACAAAGCUUGGUAAAACCCUGUAUUGAAUGAAGCAGGUAGGGGUAGGACCCUGAGGUUGUGCUUGGUGUGGACCUAACUCAGGUGUCACUUCUCCUGGGAAGGUCUGUUGUAGCAAACCUGAGUUGGUCACUGCUUUGCCUGUCUGCUAGACCAGUAAUCCAUGAGCUGUAAACUCCUCGAGCAUGGUACUAGAUUUUGCUCCUUUAAAAGUGGUGGGAGGCACCAGGGAAUUUUAAGGGUCACAUGAACUACUGAAAUGGAAAGCCCACUAAAAAUAUCUGGAAUAUGUGAAAAAAAAUACAUUUAGGGAACUAAUGCAGUGACAAAGGCAUUGUGAGCCUUCAGCUAUGGCAGUCUUCCAACACUUGUCCCUGUUCUUGUUUUGAGGUUUGUAGGGAAAAAGCAUCUGGCAGGGGGAGUGUGAAAGCAGUAAGCACAGGUGAAAAUCCAGUUUUAACAACUGGAAUUACAUGUCAAGUUGUGUGCCAAUAGUUACUUUCUAGGAAGCUCUACAACUAAAUGAAUAUGCUGGAGUCCCCAGUGCAUGCUAGUGCUCUCACGUUCUCUGGCUAUUUGGAUGCAGUGACACAAAAUCCUACGUUGCUUCCUAUAUGACUCAGCUUAAAAUCCAAGCUUUGGCAGUGUGAGUACCUGAACAAGUCAGAGCAUUCCUGAACACACACAAGCCAUUUCCAUUUGGGAGGUUAGUGGAUUAACCUUGUCAUGAGCACCAAGGCAUGUGACACGCUUGGCCACAGAAGCAGGUAUGUGUGGGGUCUCUCACAAGUUUCUGUCAACACCUCAAUGUUGCAUCUCUCCAGGGUGGGCAACGUUGCUGCCAUUCAUUCUGAGUGGUGGUGCAGCCUCGUUCAAGUGGGCUUGACAGUAUCUCAGAUAUCCCCACCUUUUGCUAUAGUUGGCUUUCUGUUACCUGAAGGUAAAUUUAGGUACAGGUAUCAACAGCCAAGAGCCUUGGUUUGGAAUAUGCCUACCUGCCUGUACGUUCAGCCCUGCUCUCUGCUGUGGGUGGAUCUGCCUCUUGGAUGCAGUCAUCUUGUCAGUCUUAAUCCAGCCAAAGGAAACGUGCACCUGAAUUUUCCCUUGCUGUGAUUGUGUUCUAUGUGCUCCUCUGUGGGAUGCAGCAGGAUGGCUACCCUGAAUUUACUGCUCAGCACUCAGUGACAUAGCAGGGAAUGCAAGGCGUUAUUUUGUUUAUGCCCACUACCCACAAAUGGCAUUUGGUUUUGGUCACCAUCUUUCUAGCUAGUACAGGGAAGCUUUGUGCCAACAGCCAGGUUUUCCAAACUUGGGCUUUUUUCCUUUUCUGUAGUAUCUCCCUACCACACAUACAGAGUACAUCACACUCUGUUCUGCCUAGGUUAUGCUCUGAUGUGUGUGAGAAGCCCUGGGAUAAUUCCCCAUUUGUUCAGCCAUGUGGAGCUGAUGAUACUGGUGGCUGCAGAAUUUCAGCUCCUGCAUCCCAUCAUCAUGAAGAAGAAAAAAGAAAGCUCAGAAGAAAGAGCUGUCCUUUCCUUCUUCUCUACUGUGAUGUCUUCAACAGCUCCAGAGGUGGUGCAGGGUUCUGAGCGUAUGCUGCUCUCCACCCACCCUCUGCCCUGGCUGGUGGGACAGCAGCACGCUGUGGAGGAGGAGGUGAAGGGACAGAGGUUUCAAGAGGUGCUGUCUUAUGCCUUUGUCUCUUUCUGUCCCCUUGCCUUCUAUGUCCAUCUUCCUGAAGCUCAUUCCCAUUCUUGUUUGGAAACAGCUGCUCUAAUAAGGCCCUUUAGCACCAGCAGUCUUUCGAUAGAGGAGGCCUGGCUGUGGCUUGGCAUGCCAGCAGAUGGACUUAGCUGACUGAGGAAGAAUACUGCUGGUCCCUACAUGGUUUGUAACAAAGGGAAUGUUAGUAUGGACAAGGUCCAAGAAACACAUUUGUAGAGUCUUAUGUGUGACCUCUGCUAAAUUUGACAAAGAGCCCUGCAUGACUUGCUCUUCUCUUUAGUGGAACCCUGAUCAAAUAUUCUUCCAUGGCCCUAUCAGGGUAAUGUUCCAUGAGGUUCGUAAUCCUCUGCUAAGUGAGAAGGCCCUGAUGAGCUCACAACGUGAAGGUAGCUCUACACUUUUUCUCAGGAUCCUUCAGAGCAGGUGGUAAUGGGAAGAUGUUUGACCCAUUUCUAUUUUUUAGUACGUUUCGGCUAAAUAAGGCCGAGAGAAUCCCUACGUGUGUAACUUAGAAUCAAACGAUGUUUCUCCAUUUCAUACAAAUAUGACCAUUUUUAUGCAAAGGCAUAUAAAUUAUGUUUCUUAGCAGGCAUUUCUUUCAUGUUUUAUAUUACAGCUGCAUGUAUCCACAUUAGGUAACUCAGGAAUAUAUUAAUAACAAAUGUUAACCUUGAGUCAUAAACCACAAGAGUUAUUGAGCUCAAGCUUCUGAGGAUCUGUAUCCUCUCCUGGUACAUUCAGUGGGCAAAACAUUUACACCUCAGGACCAUGUUUUGCACUGGAGGACAUGGGUGUGAAUAUCUGGCUGCUGUUACUCUAGUUUGGCAUCUCUUAUCUUUGAGGGAUAAUCUUUCUGGUUCCUAUUCGAUCUUGGGGGGGAGCACAGAAAAUGACACUUAAAAGGUAGAUGAAAAGUGCUCUCCAUGUUUCCUGUUUCAUGUUUUCUAACAUUUGCCUUUAAAAUUUUAAAAUAGCACUUUCCAUUUCCUAAACUGGUAACACCUGGGGAUAAAUAGGUCUCCACAGCCAAUUGCCUCAGAUAGCUCAAAGACACAAGUGCCAUUUUGCAGCUAUCCACACUGUUGCUGGGAACUAACCAGUCCCCAUUAUAAAUACAAUAGUGCAAAAACUUUUCAGCAGGCUGAGCAAACCCAGCCCUUCUUACAAUGUUAUGCCUACAGUAUUAUGUCUAAAAACCCUUGGAAAACUAGUUGAAAACAUUUUAAAGAGGAGACUCACUUAACAGUACUUCUGUAGGGUUCCUCCUCAUUGUAAUGCACUUAUAAAUGUAGCUGACUACCACUCCCACUUUAAUAAAUAUUAUCUUGGAAGGCAUCUGUAGGUAAAAUGUAAUUUCUUGAACAAUUGUAUCAGUUUGAACUACUCAUACCAAGUUUUGUGGCAUCCCUGAAUAUGCUCACUUCUCCAUGUGCAAGACAUAAAGUGGCUUUGUGUUAUUUCCUUAGAAAACAGUAAGAGUCAUAAAAGGAACCCUGGUUUUCAAAACAGGGACAUUAGAUUGGCAUUUUAUUUUGAGUAAAAUGAAUACAUGCUCGUGAUUAUAAAGUCAAUGCUCGUCCAGGGUGUGUGGUUUACUAGCCCACCUGUUUUGCCUACAGAGCAGCAAAGAGAAUAUAGAUGGUGUUAGCAGCCAUAAACCCUUCUCUUUUUGUCUUCUCCCCCAUUGCAGGCUCUCCUAGGGAUGUGGCUGCCAGUUUUAAACCUGGGUUGGAUGCAGCUGUAAGGGAAAUAAGGGGAUAGCAGAGUUCAUCUUUGCAGACCUGCUGACACCCUGUAACGCAACCAGGAGGGAGAAGGUCUUGAUCUUUCUUCUCUCCCCAUCUCUAACUGCUCAGGUCACACCUCUGAAGUCUUCAGGAUAGCCAAAUACUACAUUGUGCUGCAAAGCGCGUGUCAGAGGUGAUGAUGCCUGCUCACUUUGAAAUUAGAGAGGCUGCUCUAGCUGCUAGUCCACUGUACUUGUGGGUCUCUGCCAGCAGAGGGUCGCUGUAAGACCAUUUAUAUAUGGCUUUAAUAUUUAAACACCAUUUGUAUGUUGCUUUAAUGUUUAAACACUUCACUGGGUGAAUAUUGAGCAUGAUGACCUUAGUACUUCCUUUAUUUCCUAAUCCUCCAUUUAUCUUUAUUAAUUAUAAGAAAUUAAGCAUUUAACAAAGAUUUUCAUUUGAGCUUUUCCUCACUGUUUAUUUUGCUUUGACAUCAUUCUUCCAGAUGAGAAGAAUCAUACAUUAUAACUCGAUUUAGGAAGACAGGUAUAAGAUAAUGUUACAGUGGAUUGGGAACUACUUCAGUUUAAGACAAAUGUAUUUCAAAGAAAUAACUCUGUGAAUAAGUUGUCAGUGUUCUAGCAUUUAUUAGGGGUUGAAACUUGAGACACUAAUAGCAAAUGGAAUUCAUUUCACUGAACAUCAGGCCUCUAACAGAUGUCCAGUCUGUGCUCAGUCUUUCCUUACCCUCUGUGGAGAGGGCUGCACACAUCCCAAGGUUGAUGCCCCUUAUCCUAAUUUAGGAAUCAAGUUUGCAGAACACAAGCUAGCAGGAGCCUGAUCCCAAACAACAUUUGUACAUGUAUAAUUAUUCCCAUGUGGGAUCUCACUAUGUGUGACAGUUAAUGACUAGGCAGUUAAUUAUGUGAGUAACUAUUAUACAGGAAUGGGCUCAAUUCUCAUGCUUGUGUUAGAGGGAGACUAAUUUGUCUCUUGAGGUGUCUGUUCCUUUCUGUUGACUACAGAGGGAGCAGAGGCUAGACCAGCUCCAAGUUAAACUUCUAGUCUACAUAUCUAGCUGAGACUCAUCUCACCCACUGUGUCUACAAGCUGGUGUUACUAAUAUUGGGUAAUACUUUGCCUCAUCUUUACAGGUUUGUAGCAAAUAGAUUCUAUGCAUCUGAUUUCACAUCUAAUGCCUAAAGUGUGACAGUUAUGUGAUCAGUAGAUAGUCAUUACGUGUUCUGAAAUCAGUGGAAUUCCACCUGGGAGCAAUUGCACAAGUAUAAGUAGUUCAGGUGGUUUUUGGCUGGAGAUGUUAUGAAGCUGUACACAGUAAAAGGUAGUAGUAAGUGAUGAUGGAAAAUGUGUCAUGUUCCAAUAUAUAGUGAUUUAUAUUCUGUAUUAGAAGUCCUGUUGAGAAUUGUCCUACAUGUAUUUAAGUAGUUUUAAAAGGCUUGAACAGAAAUGCAAAAAUUCUUGUCCUUGAUUUCAGUUUAUUUACAACUCAGAAAUGAUGUUUUCAAAAUGGAAUUCCUAUCUAAAGUUCUUUAAAACAAACAACAACACCCAAACCUCCCCCCCAAAAAAACCCUCAAAAAAACAACAAUAAAAACCAGCAGUCUUCAUUUUGUACUAUUUCAGAUACAGAUGAGGUGUUAGUAUCUACUAGAACAGGUGACAUUCCUCUCUGUUGGCAGAAUUAGAGCAACCUAGUGACCAACUUAAGCUAAAGACUGAAGAGGCAUCUUCCAUAAAGGCUACAAACAGCAGAUAACCUCUGGCUUCCCUGCCAGAAAACACAGGCAAUGCCAGACACACACGAGUAGGAUUCACAUCCACCUCUGCUGCAGGGAUCAAGCCUUGAACCAGUUUCCAAAACCAUGUCCGUAGUGCAAGAUCAUUUGGUGUAUUUGAACACAGAGAAAUGUCAUGGGAAUGAUUAAGGGAUUAGAGUAACAGAGUCAGGAGGAUAAGACAAGGUUAUUGCAGACAUGGGAGUGUAUUCAUGACACCAGCAUGUGCUGUGGCUCUUCUGGAACAGUUUCCAGUCAACACCAGACUGUACAGAGCUUUCUGCAGGAUUUGUGUUUCCAGCACUUGUGCUCUGCUUGAGGUUAAUAACAUGUAAAAUCUUGUGUGUGAUUCCCUGCUGUAAUUACCUGUUAGUGUACGUAUGGGCUUUCAAGUGAUGGAAAUGACACAUGAUUUAUGAAAUAGCCUCUUCCUGUUUGCAAUGAAGCAGGGAAAUACUGAGUCAUCUCUAACCCUUUAGCCAUCCCUGCACAGGCUCUUUGUUGUGUGCUCUCUGCCUCCUAGGAUUUGGAUUGAUGGUACUCAACAGAAAUUUUUACUUGAACCAGUCUCAGUUUUACCAGUUUUGGAUGAAUUACUGCCUUUUCUUAGAGAAAAGGUUUGAACUACAUCACUGUUGAUCUGAAUUAUAAAUUAUAAAAAAAAUAGAUGUCUGUAGUUUGGGUUAAACUAAUGAAUUAUUGAUUUGGGGGAUUAAUUACUUGCAUUCACUGUAAGCUCUACCUUUUGAUUCCCUAAAGUGAGGUUAUGUCAGUGAUUUAGCCCUUAACUUUUUCAUGGAGGAGGCAAAGUAGUUUGCUUUUGUUUUUCCAUAUGAUGUCCAUCUGUACAAAUAGAUUAGAUGUGGGAAGGUCAUCCUCUGCUUUCAUCUUGAUAAGGAUUGUGUCUUUUUGCUUUUUUAUAGCUUUUUAAAGCCAUAAAGAUAGUAUGUCCUAAAACUAUAUUGCAGGUCUGUAGUUAUCAAGACCAAAUUAAUUCACAUCUGUGGUAUUAUAUCUAUUGAUGCCCUUACUUGUACAAUCUAAUUCAACUCUUCUUAUGGUUUUGGUUCCAUCUACUAAAAUGAAGAUCUUUAUUUUUUGUGUAGUAACAGAACUGCCAACCAACUGUCUAUUUGUGAAAAGCUGCCUCACAGAUCCUUGUAAAGGUCUUUUCUGCCAUCUGCACAAACCCUUCUGGUUUUGGAGGCCUUGCAGUGAUUUGUUUGUGUGCUCUCUAUGCCUUGAGUGCAUCAAGGCAGUGAACACUCCUGUCCACAGCUUCUCUAGCUGCUUGUAGGCAGCUUCCCACUGGGCAUGUUGACUUGCAGUGGUUUCUUCCCCCAGCAAGGAGACUGUUUUGUAUUGCAUACCAAGGCACCUAACUCCUCCCAUACUGAAUCUCAGAAUCACAGAAUUAUCACAGUUGGAAAAGGCCUCUAAGAUCACCAUGUCCAACUGGCAACCCCUGCCCACCCCAAAAAAAAACCAACACACCACAAAAACCACAACCCACCACCACCCACAAGAGCAUGUCCUGAUGUGCCUCAUCUACAUGGUUUUUAAAUACCUCCAGGGAUGGUGACUCCACCACCUUCCUGGGUAGCCCAUUCCAGUGUCUGACUACUCUUUUGGUAAAUAAAUUCUUCCUAAUAUCUAGUCUAAACCUCCCCUAGUGUAACUGUAGUGACCCCAGGGGCCCAAAGAAGUUCUGGAAUCAGCUGUAGGGUAGAUACUGCAAUGCUCCCCCAGACUGUAUUUCACUAUCUUUUGGAGCAAGCUCCUAAUGCUACUGAAAUCUCAGCAGUAUGAUACCUGACCUUGCUAGGGCUGAUACAGAGUAGCAUCUGAAAAGAGAAGGUCAAUUAUUUCCUCAGAUUCUCACAGUUGGAUAUUUUAUCCUUUCUCUACAGAAUACAACAGGGGCUCAGGUAAAGGAGGUGGGAUGCUCUUUUUGACUCACAUUGGCUUAGUUUAGUUUGCCUCUGAAAACCCAGUGUCUGGUUAAAGAGCUGCAUCUUCAGUGGCUGUGCAGUCUGAGGGCUGGGCUGACAAAUAGCUGGAGACCACAAUGCUGUGGUGUUGUUAAUUCCUUUCUGCCAGUGAGACAUUCCUUUUCAUCUCUUGGACAGUGUCAUAAAUCACUUUUUGGUCUUGCCUGUCACUGGACCCAACUGAUACAGUGUGAACCAACACCUCAGCUGUAUGCCAGCUGUGCAGCCACCGUGCCUUCCUACAACCAGACCUUUUUUAGAUAUUAUCCCAUAGAGAAAGAGGAAAGAAGGUGGAGCAAGCCAAAUUACAUCAGUGAGGUGGAAAAGCCAACAAUUUUCCAGAAUUGAGAUGAAGUGCCUUCGGAUAUUGACAAUUUACUGUUGCUUUGUCAAGCCACAGACUUCUGCAAAAUCUUUGACAAAGAAAAUACUGAUGCAAUGUGUUGGUUUUGCUUGGGGAACAUUUUGAAUGUCUAUGCUCAACAUUCCCUGUGGGAUCUUAGAGCAGUAAUUCCUCACCACCUACUUCAUUUGGAUGCACCUUCUGCCAAAACCGACAAGGAAUGAACUGACAGGACAGUCUUUAGCAAUGGGGAAAUUGUGACGUCUGAAGAGAGUGCACACGCAGAGGAGGGGCUACUUCAUGUUCAAAAAGGAGUUUCUUAUCAGCAAAACAAGCUCUACUCUUCCCUGCAGAUAUCUUGUCUCUGCCUUGCAGCAAUGCUAAGAUGUUUCAUCUUGUGAGAAGCCAAGGGAAAGAGAUUUACCAUAGUAAAAAUAUCUGUGCACGUGCUAUUUAAACUCCAGUCAUUCUACUGAGUUGAACUAAGACAACCAUUAACACCAGCUGGGACCGGAAUGAUUAUAAGUAUUUGUACCUAUUACAGGGUCUGGUUUCCAACUGAAUCAACACGUGCUGCAGCUUUUAAGACAAAGGAAGGAACAACAGCACAUGCAAAUAUCACUUGCUGCCCUUCUGCUGACUGCUCAUGGGUGGCUCAGGCCAGACAUGUCAGUCUUCCAAGACAAAUCAAUGGUGCAAAACCUGACUGUAUAAAAUAUGUCACUUUUUUAAUACAGAGAUCAAUCUUAAAGCAGUGGAGAUGCUAAUCAGUGCACAGAGCAAUUGUCUCUUUCAGAAAUCUAACUGAACACAAGGAGCCAGGAGUCCAGGAACUGACUUAAAGCAGUGAUGAUGUCAUUUUUCUCCUCCUUCUUCUUCUCACUCUUCCCUGAAACUCUGCAACCAAAAUUAAUAGUGCACUAUGUCUUCUCAAGCCUGAAUAUUCCCUCACACACAAUGAGAAAAACAUGGGAGGCUUUAUAAAAGUCCCUUGAUAACUGGAACAAGAAAACUAAUUGUUCAUCUGAGUGGAAUGUCCUCUUAUAAAAUGCCAGCCUUGUGAUUUUUAGAUCAAAACCUAAUAAGAUGAGCUAUGAGCUCUUAUUAUUUCUUCUGCUCCUUCACAGUAAAAAUCUGAAGUACUUUAAAAAUGCUGAGAACCUGACAGUGAUUGACAAGAAAAGAAGAGGUGUAAAGACAUACUGUGCUGAAGAAAUCUUACUUAUUUUUACAAAACAACAAUGAUAGGUAGGUCUUGCAUUUGCAAUUUCAGCCAGAAGCCAGGGCUAAGUUUUCUCAAUCAAGACCCUUACAGACUCUGCCUUUCACCCCAAGGGAAGAACACCUGAUGUGAUAAAAACCCAGAGUGACUUUAAGGAGAGAGAUAAUAAGAAAUCAAGCAGCUGCUUGAACAUUUUUUUUUUUUUUCUCAGUGAAAGAAUAUCUUAUUUUUAGUGAAUGUUCACUGUAUGUGUGAGCUGCUCCCAUCGUUUUUAUUACUGGACCUGUGCCCUACUGGAUCUCGAACCACAGGGGCUUGGUUCCAGCCAGCUGUGGGCACACGACCACGUUUCCUUUGAAUGAUUAAGUACCUGUGGUAUGGAGCUCAUACGAGUUUUAUAGCAGCUGAUGGCUAAUAUCUUGGUCUGACAUAAAGCAACAAUGGCACACAGACAGUAGCUGUAAUCACAGGAAGUGUGUCAGUACAAAAUCAACAAAACUUUAAAAGGCAUUUUAACUGGCAGUAUGAGUGAAAGCUGGAUCUGCAGCUUGGACAGUGGGUUAGGGCACAUCUGGUUGGACUCUAAUGUUGGAUUUACUGCGUCAUUAAGCCACAGUCAGGGAAGAGGAGGGUGAGCUGUGUCUUUUAUAGUUGUUAAAAAUGGAAAGCACUCUGUCACUGCUAUAUUCUCAGUGAAAAAGCCAGUGCCAGUUCAAAACUGCUGCUAGACAUGAUUCAACCAUGAUCUAUCUACAUGCUAGAUCUUCAAAAAGAUUCUGUGUUAUUGCAUAGUGAUGGCAAAAAGCAACAUGAAACUGCUAACAUGUAUUAACAAGGAGCUUUACAGAAGAUGUGGCACAUGCAUUUGCAUAACUAUACUUUGUUGAGUUGAGCCUGGACACAGUGCUUGCAUGCUUGGAUCAUUUAAUUGGCCUAAGACUGAAAUAAACACUUAAUAUUCAACAGCCAACUAUGUCCAGUAAUGACAGGGUCCUCUAGCAACAUGUUAACUAUGUCAAUAAACUUCAGCUAAAUAGUAGCUGGGGUUUUCUGCUUAAAAUGAAACUAGACCUUCAUUAAAUUCUAAGGUAAGAUUUAAAAAAAUAUAUAUUAUUAUUUUAUUAUGUAAUCUGGUUAUUUCCCACAUUAUCUUGGUGACUGAAUAAUGUGAAUCUGCUGAUUUGUUGACUUAACUGGAAUUGUAGCCUAAAUCACAUAAAAUAUAGAGUAUGGCUUUGUUUUUAAUCAGUUUGGUGAAAUUGUAAGUAAAUUAGGUAAGUAAUGUGCUUUGUGAGAUUGAAGUUUGUGCAUUCACCCUUUCUAUGCAACCCAAACACGGGACACUAGAUCUGUUUGCUUCAUCAGACCACAACACGGGUCACAGACUCUGAAAGCUACAGAAGCUCUGAUGUGAAAUCACAAGCCUCUUGCAUCUGUCUCUGAAGAAACUACCUACAUCCCUUACAUUCCACAGGCUGUAACAUCCCUGGUAAAAUAAACCAUGCUAGUUAUCUACCUAUACUGAGAAUGUAGCUUGUUUAUAACUUAUAAAUAUGCUAAUAUGCUACAGAUUUGCACGUGUGCCUUCAUUCACCUGCAUAAGUCAACACAAGAUGAAGAACUGCCAAAUAUAUUCAGCUAUAAUGAACACUUACCUGGAGACAAAGCUGGCUGGAAACAAGACAAAGGUGGUGAUUACAUAGAAGCCAUCUAACCAAGUGCUGCAGGGCAAACCAGCCACAGCUACUGGGCCUCCUUUUUCAGCUUACAGGGGUAGUGCUUCUUCUGCUCAUUUUUACCUUGUAUCAUGUUCCCUGGAUCAUGAGUAUAUAGUAAAACACAUGGGGUGUUGUUUGGCACCAGGGAGGAAAGCUGUCUCUGUCUUGUCUUGGAUGCUGCAGCCAUAUCUGGACCCGUGGAAAGGGAUGAGAUGUUUUUCUUUGGUGCAGUUAAGCACGAGGACUUGGGUGAAGCAACUUAAGAGUAGAAUGGCACAGAAAGAGGCCUCUGAAGGAAUGAAAAAAGCUAAAGAAAAAAACAUCUUACAGAAUAAUUUAAAAAUGUAAAAGUGUUCCUUUAUGUUUUAAUAAAAUCUAACUUCUGGAGUCAAAA